UACGUAGGGUGCAAGCGUCGUCCGGAAUUAUUGGGCGUAAAGAGCUUGUAGGCGGUUUGUCGCGUCUGCUGUGAAAUUUCGGGGCUCAACCCCGAACUUGCAGUGGGUACGGGCAGACUAGAGUGUGGUAGGGGAGACUGGAAUUCCUGGUGUAGCGGUGAAAUGCGCAGAUAUCAGGAGGAACACCGAUGGCGAAGGCAGGUCUCUGGGCCACUACUGACGCUGAGAAGCGAAAGCAUGGGGAGCGAACAGG
rnacentral:rRNA from 1 species